rnacentral:lncRNA from 1 species
GUGAUUACCUUCUCCCUCAGAGCACUCCUCAUUGUUUGGUUUCCUUCCUGUAGGACAUGCUGACCAUGUGUCUUUCUACCUGCUUGGCUCCUUACAUUUGACAGAGAGGAAACAAUAAUAUUAGAGUGGCUAUUUUGAAACUGUCUGGGACUUGCUGAAUUAAUUGCUCUUCUGGCUGGAGCAGGAGAAAAAUGAGAUGAGGACCCUCCAGAGAGAUUCUGUGUGCAUCAGAAAUGUUGCUUGUGCUUUUGGAGAAAUCCCCUUAUUUGAAACAAACAGGCUAACAUAUGAAGGAGUUAAGGAUACAUAUAUUACGAAAAAGAAACAUUGUAAUUAAGAGUUCUCUGUGACACAAAACAGUUUAAUUAGGUCAUGUACAGAAGAAUGAAAAGCAACAAAUACACAUUCUUUCAGUUUCACCAGGACUUGUACUUUAUCCUCCAGAGUUCAUAAGUGAGCAGUGAUCUGUAAAAACAGUUUCAGAUGAACAGGUUUGGAAAUCCAGAUUCCUCAUCCAAACACUACUGGAACACUGCAGUCAAGUUUGGUCUAAAGGGUAAGUGAUAUUUGCAAUCCAAUGGAAAGUAUAUACAUAUAUAUACAUAUAUAUUUAAGAAACCUGAUUGUUUCUUGUUGCUAUUGUUUAACAAAAUCUUUGACACUGGCACGUAGAACAAGAAUUUGAUGGAAUGAUAUAUUUUCUGUCCACAGAAUGAAAUAAAUAAAUAAAUAAAUAAAUAAGGUAAAAAAUA